GGGGGGGGGGGGGGGGGGGGGGGGGGGGGGCGGGGCGGGGGAGCGGAUGGGGAGCUUGCUCCUGUGACGUUCGCGGCGGACGGGUGAGUAACACGUGGAUACCCUACCUAUAGGCCUGGGGUCACUUCGGGAAACCGGAGCUAAUACCGGAUAAUAUAUUGACCCGCAUGGUUCCAUAGUGAACGACGGGUUUGCUGUCACUUAUAGAUGGAUCCGCGCCGCAUUAGCUAGUUGGUAAGGUAACGGCUUACCAAGGCAACGAUGCGUAGCCGACCUGAGAGGGUGAUCGGCCACACGGGAACUGAGACACGGUCCAGACUCCUACGGGAGGCAGCAGUAGGGAAUCUUCCGCAAUGGGCGAAAGCCUGACGGAGCAACGCCGCGUGAGUGAUGAAGGUCUUCGGAUCGUAAAACUCUGUUAUUAGGGAAGAACAAAUGGGUAAGUAACUAUGCACGUCUUGACGGUACCUAAUCAGAAAGCCACGGCUAACGACGUG
rnacentral:rRNA from 1 species